AUUGAACGCUGGCGGAAUGCUUUACACAUGCAAGUCGAGCGGCAGCGCGGGGCAACCUGGCGGCGAGCGGCGAACGGGUGAGUAAUGCAUCGGAACGUACCCAGUCGUGGGGGAUAACUGUCCGAAAGGACAGCUAAUACCGCAUACGUCCUGAGGGAGAAAGCGGGGGAGUCGCAAGACCUCGCGCGAUUGGAGCGGCCGAUGCCGGAUUAGCUAGUUGGUAGGGUAAAGGCCUACCAAGGCGACGAUCCGUAGCUGGUCUGAGAGGACGACCAGCCACACUGGAACUGAGACACGGUCCAGACUCCUACGGGAGGCAGCAGUGGGGAAUUUUGGACAAUGGGGGCAACCCUGAUCCAGCCAUUCCGCGUGAGUGAAGAAGGCC
rnacentral:rRNA from 1 species